CCGGGAGGCGGAACUUGGAGUGAGCCGAGAUCACGCCACUGCACUCCAGCCUGGGCAACAGAGCAAGACUCCGUCUCAAAAAGAAAAGAAAAAAAAGUAUAAAAAUGCCCUUUGAGCACUUGCGUGUGUUUCUCACAAACCUCCCAACAAUAAUUUGAUGACUUAAUAACUGUUACUAAAAUGAAUCCUAGAGUACAUGUGUGGGACAGAGGUUACUAGGGAGAUUAUAGAUAACUCACAGCUUAUGUUCACAAUUUCAAAGAACUCUCAACAGGACCAACAUACCUGAGAUGAUAGCCUGUUGAUCUAACUGUUUAAGGAGAAUGUUUCUGAUGUCCAUUUCCCCAGCCAGGGAGAAAAUGUAAGCCAACAGGGCCUGUGUGUAGAGGUUGGUCGUGGAGGUGGCCGAAUUCUUGAGACACCGUAGACCCUGACUCACCAUUGGGUCCUAAAAAGUGAAGAUGAAGACUAUAACUUAUAAGGCAUUCCUUUAAAAAUGGCAAGUAAUCAGGAAAUCAUCUUAUCCUUCUUGACCUUAAAAGGGUGACUAGAGACAAAGAUGGGUGAAUGUCUCUAGGAAUACGCAUGAGAAGGAGGGUAUCAAGAGCAGGAGCCAGGAGAACUUACAUCUACAUCCUUUCCCAUCUCCAGCAAUGCAGCUGUGACAUACGCAGUCAAGGAGACCUCAUCAUCAACACCACCCUAGAGGCAAACAGGGAGGCAGUGAGUCAGGGCAGCAGGCAGCAGCUGCAAGAAUUAUGUGCAGAUUGCAAAACAGCCUCCCCUCUGAAUAGAUGAAUAAUUUUUAAAAAGAAAAAAGAAAAGAAAGCUCUUUUUUCCACAGGCUUUCUGCAGCUCCAAGCCUCCAGGACACACAAAGAGGGAACAGUUUGGACUUCAUAACUGCACAGCCUUAAACAGCCUGCAGGAGGCAGCAUGUGGACUUCAGCUGAGUGGGUAUUUAAGAAACCCAAGAGAAGGAGUUAGGAAGGGUAAGAGCUUUAAAGAAGGGAGGAAUAAGGAGAGAAUCUGCCGCAUCACCGCAUCUGAGCCUCCUCACAUGCAGCUCCCCUCAAGCAGCACAAUACCCAGCCCUUCUCCAGCAGAGAUUAGACAUGAAAACUGAGGCCCAGACCAGCUAAGCAUUUUGAUCACGGUCACCCAGAGCCACAGUGGAGAUCAGGAGAAAACUGAUUCCCAGGCCAGUGCUCUUUUGCUUCUACUCGGUCAGAGGUGUGGGGUCCUUCGAGACAGUGGUUGGCUGCAGGCUCCUGGACAGAUCCGCACCUUCAUAGCUGUGUGAAGGAGAUUUCCCACGUUGGCAUAGCAGCCACUGGGGAGCUGGUUUCCUGCCAUCCACUUGAGAGCAUCCUGGAUGUUCUUGGGAUCAAUGAAGAUGAAUUUCUGAGCUUGGCCAAAGCAUUUUGUGACAAACGCUGUCAGCCUACAUGGGUAAAGAGGAAAAUAUGGCAUGAAGAGGAAUUUCCAGGAAACCCACUGCCCGAGACCUGAUCUCCUCCGUCAGCA
rnacentral:lncRNA from 1 species